GAACAAUUAUUCAGGAGAAGGUUGAGUCGUUCUAAUUUGAAUAGAACAAUCAUCAUAUCUAACUGGCCGUCUCUAAUUCAAGUGGCAAAGAGCUUGGUGUUUCGUACUCGAGGAUUCAAGUUCAAAUCCUAGUUGAUUCGAACUAGUUUAUUUCUAGCUAAGUUUAUUUCUAAAUGAAAUGAACGAAAAGAAUAGCAUGCUACCUAUCUCGAUCCAUAUCUACGUUUAUUUUCAUUCCUUUGGCGAACUCAAAGCUUUAUUAAUUUAUAAUCAUGUUUUUUUUGCAAAUUAGUUUUAGUAGGUGUUCCAUUGCGAACUCAAAGCUUUAUUAAUUUAUAAUCAUGUUUUUUUUUGCAAAUUAGUUUUAGUAGGUGUUCCAUUUUAAGCACAUGCUCUUUACCCAUUUAACCUUCUUUAUUCAUCCAUCAAAAAUCAUUAUACUUACAAAAGUAUUGUUAACAUAAAAAAUCUGUUCACGUAAGUAUUUAAUCUCCUAGACAAUAUUAAUUUAUCCUAAAUUUAUUUAUUUUAUCUUUGUGCACUACAACAGAAUUAGGUUACAGGGACACAUGUUUGCGACACUUUUUAGUAAGUGUCCUAUUUAUGUUGAAAUUUAAAAAAAUAUCUGCUAAUGCCUAAAUAUAUAGCCCAAUCCAACCAAAAAUAAAAGAUUACUCUAAUCAACCCACCACACCGAGUCCAUUUGGCCCGAUUACAAACAGAAAAGAAAAAAAAAAAAGAAAAAUUAAUUGCCAUCUUUUCUUCUCUCUUCACUCAAUCUACUGAAAUUCUAGACGAAGAGCAUUUCUUGUCGUCCUCCUUCGCCACCACAGCCAACGAGAUAGAGUUUCGGCGGUUACUAAAUGUUUAAAUAAGUGUUAGUAAAUUAGCAGCACUCUUUUAGAUAAUAGCGACACUCUAUAACUGUCACUAUAUACCUAGCGACCCCACAUAUAGCAACACAUUUUAAAAAUGUCGGUAAUUUUAGCUAGCAGCAUUUUUUUGAUUUGUACCUAUAUUUAAAAAUGUCGCUAUAGACUGUUUUUGUUGUAGUGAUGGUCAAAUAAGGAUAGAUGAAAUUUAUUUUCUGAUUGUAAUAUUAUGCCUCUAAUUAU
rnacentral:lncRNA from 1 species